AGGACCUUACUUGAACAGGAUCUGUUCUAUAGGCUCGUACCACUGUAUCCUUGAGUUCUAAGGAGACAGAACACUAAGUUUGGUUGAUGGCACGUGGCUAUUUGAUCAGAGCGCGAUUAACAACAUCCAUGGCCUUUGGGUCUUGGCGUCAUAGAUGAUCGUUCUCAACUCUGUCAACGAUGUUUGGAUGGUCUAAUGGUUGUCUGACAGACU